rnacentral:rRNA from 1 species
GACGAACGCUGGCGGCGUGCCUAAUACAUGCAAGUCGAACGCAGUGGGGACGGGUGAGUAACACGUGGGUAACCUCCCAUCAGAGGGGAUAACACUUGGAAACAGGUGCUAAAACGAUACUGAUGGAUGGACCCGCGGUGCAUUAGCUAGUGGGUGAGGUAACGGCUCCACAAGGCCAAUAUGCAUAGCCGAGCGGAGAGGUGGAGCGGCCACACGGGGACUGAGAAACGGCCCAGAACCCUACGGGAGGCAGCAGUAGGGAAUCGUCGGCAAGGGACGAAAGUCUGACCGAGCAACGCCGCGUGAGUGAAGAAGGUGUUCGGAUCGGAAAACUCUGUUGUUAGAGAAGCGGUAUCUAACCAGAAAGCCACGGCUAACUACGUGCCAGCAGCCGCGGUAAUUC